UAUUUGCGAGCAACACUAGUGAUGAAUCUCCCCCAUUGAGCCUGCCAGAGCCGCAGUGAUCUGUGUAAGAAACCUAUGGGCCCAGGCUGUUAGGGUCACCAAAUGAUAUUACAAAUACUGAGUGUCUGGUUAGGAGAAACAAAUAUAAUGUACCCACAGGGAGUGAGCCAUUUUUAUAAAAAAUUGCCAAAAAUCCCUGAAAUAAGUCAUGCAGAAUAUGUUAAAAAGCUUUUUGGAUUUUCAGCCAAUCAGAAAGCAGCACUACUCAAAUAGAACUCCCGUGAGGUCACACAUGUGAUGUCAUAACCUUUGUCAUCAGUGAGGGGCCUAAACUGUAGGAACCUAGGAAUGCAAAUUCAUACCCGCCUGUGACUGAUGCACACCUUCCAGGCUGUGGGGCAGCACAUACACGGACACAUUGGCCCAAAUUCUAGAGGUAACCUCCUUUAGUAUGCCCAGAGGAAGGGCAGUACAGUAGCCAUGGAUUCCCUACAGGUUUCCUCCCCUCUGGAGGUUUUUCCUGUCCUGAGUUAGUUACUGUCCGCUCUUUGUGAGUGAUGGAGGUUACAUAAAAUCCCUACACAAACAUUUUACUAAAUAAUAAAUAAAGUUCCCCUUUGUUUAAACUGUU